CCAGCCCAGCUUUGCAUCUCCCUCUCCGCUCUCCUCUUCGCCGAGCUGAGAUGAGGACGCCCAGCCCGCCGGACCGCCGCCGGCGCAAGCCACCGCCACCUCCAAGUCCGUCCGUGCUGCUUCAUGCUGUGGCUACUCGCCGGCGCAGUCAGUCUCCCGAGCUCCACCACCAUCGCUCGCGUUCCGGCCGUCCGUCCAUGGCCGCGACAGCCACCGGCAUCAGCAGGGCAAGCGCGGCGGGGGGCAACGACAUCGGCACCGAGUUUCGGCCUCCAAACCCACAUCCCGCCCGCCCGCCCCCCAUCGCCGCCGCUGCUCAAGGUUCCUUAGAAAUUAGCGAGGUGAGGUGGAGCGCUUUGGCCAGAGAGUACUCUGGUCCAAGUUUAGCAGAAGGAGGUGAACUAGAUAGAUAGAGGCUGGGAAAUUUGUUUUGAUCCCUAGGCUGGAAAAUGUUGCUCAACUCUGCACAUUCGAACCCAGAAGAGUCGUCCUCCAGAUUACAAUUGAUUCAUCAUUGUUCAUUGGAAUCUCAAGCGAAUUUCUAUCGACCAGCCCCUGUACCAUUAUCGAGCGUGCUUGUCUCUGCGCAGGAUCCUAAAUUUGGAAUGCUCUAAUCCAUCUGAGAACUCAAGCAGUUAAAGCUUGCUAGGGGCUUGACUCGUGGAAUAAGUGAUAGAGACCUGAAACCAACCUCAGAUGAGCAAAUGCAGAGUACAAGCUGCAGUUUCAUUACCUUCUUUGUUUGUUUCUCAGUCACCUUGCAAUCAUCUGGUUUUGGUUUCAUAAAAUAGAGAGUCAGAUGAUGACGAUUGACGAUUGAUAUUACUUUCAAACCUUAUGAUCAUCUAGUUUUGGUUUCAACAAAUACAAAGUCAAAUGGUGACGAUUGACGAUUAAUAUUACUUUCAAUGGUUGCUAGUCUAUUAUGUUCUCCACAUGAAUUUAAGAGGCACACCCUUGACAUGUAUCGCCCGGUAGUGGGUCAUAACACUCUGAGCAAGUCAUUACAGUAUAAUAUUCACCUCUAGUCACCCAGUAGUAUUUUCAAUCCAUGCUAACUUGCCAAUUAAUCUCAAUACAAUACCAUGAUAUAUUAUGCAUUAUCGAAUGCUGCCAUGAUGUAUUGCUGUGCCUGUGACUAUAUAGACUUUUUUUUAACCACACAUAAUCAUGUAUACAUGUUUGAAUAUUUCCUGAAUUAUUGUUCUAAAUCAGACCACGGUCAGCAUUGGUGGUAGGUCGCUCCUCUGUUAGUCAAUCGAUUGUAUUGGUCAUGAUGAGAAUGCAGUUGCUUCAGUUUCGAAAAGAGCACUGACCCAUUAGGCUGCAUUUCUUAUUCCUGUUUUUGUGGCUCGUGUAUACGUAAAUUAAGUGCUUACAUGCUAAUUGUUGUUCUCCUGCAUAGAUAGCCCACAUUUAGCAUAUACACCAUACCAUUGUAUACAUCAUUUACAUUUUACGUUAUUCAAACGGUUCCUUUAAUGGACUGGUUGCUCAAACUGGAAACUGGUUCCUGCAACUGGACAAGAUGAAGGGAUGCUUGAAUAUAUUGCUUCCAGUUCGUUUGCACAGGCAACUCAUAUUCAGGAUCAUAGAUGCCCAGUAGCCAGUGUUUGGUUUUCAAAUGACUUGUUAAUUUUUUUUUCAUUGAAAAAAGGUAUUCUACGCAUUCUGCUUCAUUUCUUAAGUAGAUUUGCUUCUACAGAAAGUUACACUCAUUGCUUUUUUUUUUUUUGCUUGCUCUCGGAACAUCACAGUGUUAUUAGUUACAUACAAAAGUUCCAUCCUGGCGAAGAUGGCCCUUUUGGUAUAUCUGCCAAUGCUUGGAAAUGCCUAUAAAGGCUGUGCUGGUUACUCUGCCAUGACAUAUGACGUGUGCUGGAUACUGGUUUAUGUUUGCCUUUUAUGCUUAGAAAUAAAUAUCGUUCAGUUCUCUCUAACUGCAGCAAUCUUCAACUGUCAAUCUUGUAGUGCUGGAUCUCUGAGACCAUUCUUUUUUGGCUUCAAAGAAAAUUGAACUUAUUUGCACUGAACUUCAUUUCUCUGUUCUUCUGAUUACUGUUCAGCAAUUAAAGUGGAUGUUUGUCGUGUUUCAUUUUCUAAGGAUUAUAUAGCGCAACUAGGUGUUUAUUAUUUCUGACCACUAUUCUAUUUAUUAAUACCUUCUGCAUCAUGUUGUUUGUCAAGCAUGUUGGUGCUCUGUCCUGAAAAAAAAAACAUCUCUUCAUCUUCGCAUAAUACUACAAAUGUAGUGGUUGGUUUCCAUCUAGCAGGGAUGCUAUAUCUUUUGAAAGUUGUAUUGAGCAAGUUGUUGACGAAAUAUACCACCAUAGUUAGUAUUUUUGUUUUUGGUGUAAGCAUUCCUUGUUUAUUCACUCCACUGUUCAAUUGGUCCAGUCUAGUUAAUUGUGCGAUUAAAAGAUGCUUUCACACAUUUCUAUUGAUCUUUAUCUGUGUGUGCGCAAAAGCUGGUCCUAAUGAAUAUUCUGAAUCAUGUGUGUUUCCUCUGAUAACAUUUAUUUUGACCUCGUUUGUAAAUGAUCUGGUUGCUUAUUUUGUUUAGGAUAAUGUGCAGGAGGCUAAGCAAGCACUUCAAUUGACAAGAAAGUGGGGAACAAUUGAUGUAGCUGAUGCACUAGAGCUUCUCUCACCAGAUUCUGAAAGCGAGGAAGUAAGCUAUCUAGCACCUCUUUGCGUGCUUCCAUUUUUCUUAGAUGUCUGUGUGCUAUGAGGUUUUCAGAUUUUAUCAUGGUUUUAAAUAGCACGCUAAGGCUCUUAGCGGCGGACCUCUUCUCGCGCUAUUUAAAAUGCUUGUUCACUUGUUUGGACCAAAGUCUCUUAGCGCAAGACCUUCUGUAAACGCUAUAGCGGGCUAUAGCGGAGCUAUAGCGGGCUAUUUAAAACCAUGGAUUUUAUUAGAUACGUUGGCACGCUUCCUUGUGAAUUAGUCAUUAGUAAUUAUGCAAUUUUUGUUGUGGAGUUUCUCAUGAAAAAUUGCUGUAUGACAACAUGUGUCCUUUCUUCAAGUCUGUAUAUCCAGUUUCCGCCAUCUUUUACACUUUAAUGCUCCCUUCAAAUCAUAUUUUAGUAGAAGUAGGGAUACUCACUUUUGUGAACUGUAUCUAGUUUAAGCGCUGUUGCUGAGUGGAGACAUUUACCUUUAACUUGUUCAGAUGCUUUUUGAAACUGUGGUUUUAUCCGAUUCAAUACUUGGGGAGAAAUUCUGAUAGCGAUCUCAUAUUUGUACAUGGGAUGAGAGGCUUGCCUCAGUUGUACUGUUCACGCAUCUUCUUCAUUGAUAGAGAUAACUUACUGACCGGGGAGAAACCCUAGUGAACAAUUUAUGUGACCCCAACCCAUCUAUUAGCAUCCCCUUUUCCAAAGAAGCACUCUUUGCCCAAGAAGAGCAUCCCCUUUUUUCCAAGGAAGAAAGAAUCGAAUUCCUUCCCCGCAGGAGAGAGCACGUCUCCUCCAAAAUACCUGCUCCCACAGAUCCUAUUCCCACCGACGACCCAUCUGUAAGAUAACUACAAUUCCAUUAGCAGCUAGUUAAACACGCCAAGAACUACACAAUAACUAUUAAAACGAUUAAGAAAAAUAAUUUCAAAAAGGAAAACAAAUAAAAGGAAACAAAAGGAUGAUAGAAGCAAAAUAAGACAAGAAAAAUACGAAAAAGUACCUAAAUGCACCUAGAAGCUGGAACUGUCAUUGCUAAAUGUUUUCAGGUCUAAUACUGACGGGAAUGUUUUCAGGUUUAGUUAGCAACCUGACAAACCUGGAAGGAGAGAGUACUGCCUAGAAAUAAUAUCUAGAUAGAGAGAGGAGGAUUGGCACUAAAAUUUGGCUUUGAUGCAAAUAAAUUCCUCCAACCGCAUGACCCCAUCCAUCCGUCUCCUUUUCUCUUUGCCAAAGAAAGAAUCAAAUUCCUCCCCACAGACCACAUGCAUGUAUCCCUGAAUUCUUUUCCAAAGAAGAGCUUAGCUGCU